GACAGAGGUGCCGAGCGUUAGGCGGAAUCACUGGGCUUAAAGCGUGUGUAGGCGGAUCUGUAAGUACCUUGUGAAAUUCCACGGCUCAACCGUGGAACUGCUUGGUAUACUGCGGGUCUUGAGCCACCUAGGGGCAAGUGGAACAAACGGUGGAGCGGUGAAAUGCGUAGAUAUCGUUUGGAACGCCAAUGGUGAAAACAACUUGCUGGGGGUGUGCUGACGCUGAGACACGAAAGCCAGGGGAGCAAACGGG
rnacentral:rRNA from 1 species